rnacentral:lncRNA from 1 species
UUUUUUUUUUUUUUUUGCUUGUUAGGGCCACACCUGCAAUAUAUGGAAGUUCCCAGGCUAGGGGUCAAACCAGAGCUGCAGCAGCCAGCCUAUGCAACAGCCACUGCAAUGAGGGAUCUGAGCUGCAUCUGUGACCUACACCAUACUCACAGCAAAUGCUGGAUCCUUACCACACUGAUCGAGGCCAGGGAUCGAACCCACAUCCUCAUGGAUACCAGUUGGGUUUGUUAUUGCUGAGCCACAACGGGAACUCCACUCCUAUUCAACAUUCCUGGGGGCUCUACCAAUGCAUUAACAUAAGAAAAAGAAACAGAUGUGAGAAAAAAACAGUAUGAAAGAAGUAAAACAUACUCAGAGACACAGAAAAUCUUACGGAAUCAAAAAAAAAAAAAGAAAUGAAUAAAAAUUUUUAAGGUCAAAGGAUAAAAGAUCAGUUUGUUAGAGAAUCAAUUUUAUUCCUACAUGGUGGCAACAAACAGAAAAAGAGAUUUCAAAAUCCAUUUAUGGCAGCACAAGAAGAAAAAUGUUCAAGAAUAAAUUUAACAAAAAAGUACAAGACCACUGCAAUGAAAACUACAAAACAUCACAGAGAAAUUAGAAAAGACCAAAAUAAAUAGAUACAGGCUCAUGGACUACAAGACUCAAUCUUGUUAAAAUUUCAAUCCCCUACCCAUUGAUCAAGAGAUUCAACACAACACCAAAUAAAAUUUCAGCCAUCCUUUUAAAGGAUAUUGAGAAAGCGGUCCUAAAAUUUCUAUGGAAAAGCAGAAUAACUAGAAGAACCAAAAUAAUCUUGAAACACAGAACAAAGUUGGAAUCCUUACAUUACCUGACUUCAAAAUUUACUGUAAAGUCAAUCAAUACAGUAGGUAUAGACUAAGGGGAAAAAAAAAAUCCUCAAACAAUCAGAUCAGCGUGAAGUACAAAAGAGAGUCUAGAAAUAGAUCCACUAAUACAUAGCCAAUAGAUUUUUGACAAAGGAGCAAGGAAAUUCAAUAAGGACACUAGUAAUUAGAGAUCCACGUGAAAGAAAAAUAAACUCUACCCUUACCUCACACCAUAUCAAGACAUUAAUUUGUGACAGAAUGUAGACCCAAAUGUAAAAGCUAACACUAUGGACUUUCUAGAAGAAUACGUGGAACAUAUCUUUGUAACCUUAGGAUGGACAAGAUUUCUCAGAACACAAAAAGCAGUAACCAUGAAAGAAAAGAAGAAAAGGUACAUGGGAUAUUAAUGAGAUGAAAAGAUUCUGCUUUGCAAAAGCCACAACUAAGGAAUGAACAGAGAAGACAAAGAUGAGGAGAACAUUCAUAAUACAACAACAAAAACAACAAAAAACCACUUGUAUCCAAAAUACAUAAGGAACUCCUACAACUCAAUAAUAAAAAAGACCAGAACACCAAUUAAAAAUGGCCAAACAUGUGAACGAGCACGGCACAGAAAGAAAAUACAUGAAGGGCUAAUGAGAUCAUAAAAAGAUGCAUGAGUCAUCAGGAAAAUGCAAAACCAAACCACCGAGAGAUACCAUUUCUCACCCACAGGAUGACUGUAAUUAAAAAGACUGAAAAUACCCAGUAUUGGCGAGGAUGUAAGGUAACAUCAACCCUCACACACUUGCAGUGGGAGUUCAAAAUAAUACACCCAUUUCAGACAACUGUUUGGCAGCGUGCUAAAAAGUUCAACGUGCACACCCACAGAGCCAGCAACUCGACACUAGGUGAGCGUUAAAAAUAAACAAAAAUGUGAAGGCACAGAAAAAGGUUUCUACAAGCAUAUUCAUGGCAGCUUUGCUCAUAGUAACCAGGCCAUGGACACACUCAGGGCUCAUCCACGGGACACAGAUGAACAGAAGGGGGUACGUUCUUACAGCCGGACCCUGCUCAACAUUGAAAAAGGAAAGCAGUGACUAACACACAAACGUGACGCUGAGCACGAGAAGCCAGACGGUCAGGCACAGGGAGGCUUUCCAUUCAAAGAGGUAAACUAAGCUCAGGGCGAGCAAGAAGAACCAUGCUGGCCUCUGAGAGUGGGAGCACUUCCUGGAAAUGAGAAUGGCCUGUACUGGGGUCUCGAGAACGAUCUAUCUCCUCCUCGUGGCGCUGACCACAGAGGUGUGCACACACGCACAUGUGCCAAAAUCCUGAAAACUAUGUUACAACACAUGGUGACUUUACAGUAUGAAAACCACAACUCAACAAUCUAUGUAUAAAUAUUUGCUUUCUCUUUUUUUCUCCCUCUGUCACACACACACACACGCCAAGAUGUCCAACUCUGCACAGGUCCAGCUUUACACAGACCUCAGUCUGCAGGCGGGUAAUCCUACCCACAAAAGUGCUGCGAAGUUUUAAGAUGACUUAACCACACGGCUGAUGACUUGCUAUCUGAGGAAAUCCUGCCGGGCAGAAAGGGAACAGGCUCAGGGAGUCAGACGUCCCAGGUUAUUACCGCAGAUUGGCUUCUCAUUAGCAAGGUGAUCUUGGGCAAGUUAAUUAUCAGCCUCAGCAAUUUCUUCACCUGAAGGAGUCGGAGCAGCAACAUGGGCCGUGCAAGACGGUGGGGUGGCUUCAACGCGGUGACGGUGUACGGCACAGAAUGAAGGGCGCCCGUCGCUGUUAUUAUCAUCCGCAGCCCCGCCUGAUUUCUUUUCGUUUUUUUGGUUUUUUUUUUGUAUUUUCUAGGGCCAUACCCCGAGGCAUAUAGAGGUUCCCAGGCUAGGGGUCUAAUCAGAGCUGCAGCCACCGGCCUACGCCAGAGCCAAAGCAACGAGGGAUCCGAGCCUCGUCUGCGAUCUACAGCACAGUUCACGGCAACGCUGGAUCCUUAACCCAAUGAGCGAGGCCAGGGAUGGAACCCGCAACCUCAUGGUUCCUAGUCGGAUUCGUUAAGCACUGCGCCAUGACAGCCUGAUUUCGGAUAACUCCGUGAGCGUGAAGCGGCUCUGGGAAGCCAGUCCCUCCGUACCCACUUGGCUAAGCGCUGAUAUCUAGGGAUGACUGAAUGCAUCUGUAAAAACAACUGUGGGGACUCUUUAAAAAAGAAAUGGAUGAGAACAUUCUGGAAACAGUCAUUUUUAAAACACACCUUAGCACACCUUUUGUCCCCCUCCUCGCCAGCAGUAUUCGGAUUUCACUCUCUUACAAACACCACUGUUGCUCUCCUCUUCUUAAAGGACACCUGCCGGCAGCGUUUUAGGGUGCUUUCGGAGACCUCUUUGGUGAAAAGGAAUGGUGAUACAAACUUUGAGAAGCGUUCUUGUUGUGAAGGAGGCGCCAGAUCAAAUCCUGCGACCUGGGAUGUCAGGUCCACACUCAGGAAAUUAUUUCUUCUUCAAGAGAAUGCAGAGGGAAUAUGGGAAAAAGGGAGACCCUUUCUGAAAUGAGGGCAUCAGCUUCCUGGCAGAGCCCGGGACUACGAAUCCACUGACAUGGUUCUUGAGAAAACUUACAUUUGUUAGCAUCUCUGAAUCUUCCAGAACCACAGCAUGUUAAGUCUUACACUCCUCUCUCUCCCUGACCAACGCUCUUCGUAAAGACCGGGGGGCAAGCUAAUCGCAGUAAAAGGGGUUAAACAGAGUAAGAGGCUCUCAAAAGUGAGAGCCUCUGGCAAGGUCUGGGUGUGCAGUGGCAGACGAGGCAGGGUGUCUGCAGAAUCCUUUCCAAAUGUCCCCAGCUUCAGAGGUGAGCAGGCUUUGUCCUGUGCACAGUGCCGAUGUGACAACAGGUUCAGAGGGGACAGAAUGGUGGACUCGAAGAAUACCAAAACACACAGGACGGAAGGCCUGUGGGGAGAGCGAGGCCUCUGUCACCCACCAUGUGACAGAGCAGACAACGCCAUGCGGCUCUGCCUCAACUGAGGAGACAGCACCCAGGUCUCUUGGGUGAACCCCCGCCUUGCCAGGCUACCAGGAAUCAGAAAGGAAGACGCUGCACGCAUCGAAACUCAAACUCGAGUCCUUUUCUCAAUAACACUUAAUCGAGAAAGAAAAGAAAAGAAACCCACAGAAAAGUCAGGCAAACCCACUGAUGAACCGGCAGAUUUUACUUCUCUCCACUGCGGGAGCCCCGGCUUUUUAAAAGUGUCCUCAAUCCGGUGAUGCUAUCAGCUUUGACGUGUGGUUUGAAAAAGCGGAUAUUACACUUUAACUGCCCUCACGAUGGAAACAUUUAAGGCAAACCAUCGAGUUUAUUUUCCUCCUCGCCCAGCCGAGAUAAGCUGUGCCUGGAACCCCGGGGAGUUCUCGUAAACGGGCGCCUGGUGGCCUGAUGGGAAGCCGGGCUGAUGUGCAGAACCUCUGCCCUCCGCACACACCUGAGGUGCCGGGGCAGAUCCGCUGGAACAAGGGCAAUCAGAACAGGUCCAGUCAUCAGAUCAUUUCUGAUUGAAAAUUCUGAGAAGUGAGUUAUGCACGAUGCUCGGUUAGUCACUGUGUUUCUCAAAAGCGCUGCGCUGUGGAAAACCGGAGCCCGCCCGUCCUGGGGCCCGAAGGUCAACUUCAUGGGUUCGUGCACACGUGCGAGGGGCAGGUUCCACUCCUGCCAGGUUCGAACCUCCCAUCUUCUGUCUCCCCUUCCCACAGCCUGGCUCAGCCCCAAGAAACCCACGGGAGGCAGGUGUGGGAACCUCGCUGCACCCUGGACACUCUCGCCAGUGUGUCCCGCAGAAGAGAAAAGUUAGAUUACCUUGCGUUAAAAUUUAGAAUCGGGCUCAGUCGCAGCUGUGGCAAGAACAUUAGGGAGCGAGGAAGGUUGGCCUGCAAGAUCCAUGCAUUUCCAACAAGCAGAAAUGGUCACUUAAAAAGACACAAAGUCUAGGACCUUAUCAGCUACAUGCUUGAGCUUCAGUGCAAAGCACAAACUGAGUUUCGACGGUACAUUUGGGGGGUGGGGGGUGGGGUUCCUUAGCUCAGAUGGACUUGACAGCGUUGUGUGGAAGCACAGCACCAAAGUGAGGUGUGUGUUCAUGUUGUCUAAUUUCAUUUCAUUAGAAGAUAAAAGCUACCUGGGAAAUGAAAGGAAACAUUAAAAACUGCCGCAACAAAGCAAAUUGCUCCGUGGCAUUUGGGAAUCCUUGGUCCUCAAGUACAUCACGCACAGAAAAGACAGCUGCUCAGCCAGAGACAGGUGUGUCAAGGAAAAUAUGGUGCAGCAAGCUCGAAAGGCCUGUCCAGAAAAAUCUUCCGUUCUAAGUUGCUGGGAAACAGAAGAGCAGGGUUUGCGGUGAGCCUCCUCUCACCUGUGUGAACAGCAAGAGCAAAGGAUGAAGAUCUGAGCAGAGGAAGGCAGAUGAAAGAGACAGAGAGGAAAGGCAUUUUCUGGAGCCGGGGGGUGGGGGUGGAGGGGAGCUUGACGCGUUCAGAGCCGCGGUUAGAGAGGCCCUGCAGGAUGAGACUGGAGUCCGGAGAAUGGCCCGGGCCAGGAA